UGUUCUUGAUGAUCACUGCAUCAAUCAUUUUCAGGCCAUCUAUGCCUGGCCCUGAAUUAUGCAUUUUUAACAAAUAUGAAUGAUGACAAGGUCAGGAUCAUCUUUUUAUAGCUCAUCUUUGGUAGCUUCUUCAUCCUUUCCGGUCUCAGCAGCAAAAGAUGCAAAAGAUUUGAUUAUGGAUUCAUACACCUCAAUCCCUUUCAGGGGGUGUCAAUCGUGUCAUGUUUGUGGGUUGAAUCGUUGAACCUAAACAUGACCCCAUAUAUCAAAGACAUCAAUCCUAACCCGGACACACUUAAAAUCCAUUGAUCUUUAUCUAAACUCGCCAAACGAGCUGUAAACGUGUUAAAUAGGUUGGUGGGUUUUAACUUUUUUUAACAAAUGGGCAAAAGCAGGUUGGCCGGUCGGCCUCUUUAACUAAACGAGCUAAACAAGUCAACUCAAACACAACCUGUUUAAUUAAAAAUGUCAACCUGAACACGGCCCGUUUAUUAAACAUGCUUUAAUAUGACAACAAAACACCCGAUUAUCUUCGUCCCUAUCAUACGACAUGUAUCAUAUGUUUGACUAACAAAGAAACAACUUAUGUGAUCUGUAACAUAGUCAUACGGGCCUGUAUGACAUUAUACGGCCUAUAUUAUGUGUUUGACAGACAAAGAAAUGACUCAUAUGACCUCUGUCCUCUGACAUAGUCAUACGGCGCAUAUGACAUCAACUUAUAUGCCAUCAAACAAAGUCAUACAGCCUGUAUGACAUCAUGUAGCGUAUGAUGACAAGAGCCCCUCUAGGGAUGAGCAUAUGGUACUUGGUACGGGUACCGAAAUGCGAAUCAGUACCCACUUUUUGGCAUUUUCGGUACCGGUACCGAAAUGUGAAUCAGACUCAGUACCAACUUUUUGGCGUUUUCGGUACUGGUAUUUUACCCUUAGAUACCGGUACGUACUGGUACCGUCCCGUUUAGCUAAAGGGGUUUGUGGGUUCAACUUGAAACUGACCCGAACCCAUUUGGACCAAACCCAAACCCACGAAUUUCAUCUUAACGUUGGUGUCAGAAAUUCAACACCCCUAGUGUACACCAUUGGGAUGGUAUCUAAUUUAACUACAUUCCAAUGCCUACUUAAUUUGGAUAAAAAAAGUACAGAGGAUGAGUGUGAUUGAAACUUACGGUAGGAGAAGGGGUCCCAGCUUUAAGAAACACCAUAUUCACAUUCACAACUUCACCUUCAGCUUUCAAACCCGCCUUCACCAAGUCAAAUUGAGAAGCCCUAAACCUCCUCACACUCUCCACACUCUUCAACAAAUUCUCCAUCGCCGUAUUAUCAUACAGCUUCGCCCCGUGACCGGGCGCCCCAACCGCCUUAAUCACAAGCCACAUAGGACACCUCUCGGCAUAAAACAACCUAUAAUGCCCAUCAACAGACGCCAACCCUUCAUCCAACACAAUCCCAACAUUCAUUUCAUCAAAAAUCGCAGAAUCCACAAACUUCUCAGCCCCAUCAUGCCCACCAAUCUCCUCAUCCGGAACAAACAAAAUAUAAACCGUCCUCAAAGGUACGAACCCAGAACUUUUCAGGUUCCGUACAGCCUCGAGGUACUGUAACCCGACACACUUCAUGUCCUGGGAGCCUCUGGCGUAUAUGUUGUCGUUGACGAUAUUAGCAGCGAACGGAGGAUGGGCCCACUUGUGGGGCUCUACUGGAACGACGUCGGUGUGGGAGUUGAGGAGGAUUGAAGGGAGGGUGGGGUCUGUGCCGGGCCAUUUGAGGAGGAUUAAGGGUUUGUUUUUGACGAACUCGAUUGUUUGGGAGUGUAAAGAGAGGGUUUUGGCUUGGGAUAAGAUGAAGUCUGCGGCUUCAUGGUACUUUGGGGUGGGUUGAGCUGUGUUGAUUUGGAGGUAUUGUUGGAACCUUUGGAGGCUUGGGUCGUUGGCGAGGGUUAGUGUGAGGAAGAUGAACAAGGUAUAUAGAUGGAGGAAUAUUUUGGAGGUGAUUGGCAUCUUGAUGGUGUAGUGUGUGAUGACUGAUGAAGAAAACAAGAUAUGGGGGUACACCCCCUAUGACUGAUGGGAAUAAUAUUAUGAUAAAAGGAUAUAAACUAGAUAUCUACAAUUUACUUAACGUGGCGCGGCGCAAGCCAGCAUCCUAUUGUUAUAUAAGUGGAACUGACACUUUGACUUCUGUGACCAACCAGCAAGUGGUAUGCCUGAGCACUGACAAUAGCAGUUAGCUGACCGUCCAAUACGCAGCUGCCCAACCCACUUGCAUAAAAGCUGAUGGACAGAUUGACAACCCCAGCAGGACACGCGGCGGGUGUUCCUUCGUGCAAUUGAUACAACAGGACACGUGGAAACACUUCCGCGUGCGCCCCAACACUUCCGUGACCUACGCUUCUGUCAAGUCUACGAAAAGCUGCAAGUUGUCAGUCGGGCCCUAGGCCCAUCAAGCAGCCCAUUGCCUCUUCUCCUUCACUCUUUGGCUAAAAAUACCCACUUCAAACCAGGUUUGAGGUAAUGCUAAUCUGCUCACUCACAAUUACUACUUAACACUUAUCUUGCUUCCAAGGCAAAUACUUAUUCUCAUGCUGGAGGGUGAUAACAAGGAGCAACCCCCACCCCAUUCUCCUUGUUGCGAGUCACGGUGUGUUUCACUGUGCAGAUGACAAAUUAGAAGACGACCCAGCCAUCAAUUGAUGAAAGGAGGGAUCAACCCUACUUGACGAGACUCGACCCAUGGACUAACCUCUUGAUUAACCACUGUUUCUUCAGCGACUCAGGGAGAAAACCUAUCAUUGCGACACACAAUCUAAAUCUCUAGCUUUUAGUUAAAUUCUGUAGUGGAUAUAAACAUAAUUAUUAUAGGUAUCGGUGAAAACAAAGAAAACAAUUGAUAUUGAUAAUAUGAAUUAUAAACUCCAGUUUCAACAUAAAACAAACAUAACGAGUAUAUAUUUUACAUGAAAUAUGAGAUGCAUACAUACAUAAAACAAACAUUAAAAUAUGUCUAUUUCAAACCAACAAGUUGUGGUGAUACAUGGAAUAUAAGAUGCGUAAAAGAUCAAAUAUAUAGGUUUAUUAUAUGGUAGAACGAACAUAUUUAUUUGUGUUGUGCUACAUGCAUUCCAUCAUUUGAGUUCUGAUUAAGCCCAAUCGUCCUUUAUUGCCGACAACAAGGUGGCGGUGGUGGUCCUCCUGCUACAAAUAUUAUUAUAUAAGAAAUGAGAUAUGCGUAUAUAACACAAUUACAUUUUGUUAUUUUUAUACAAUCUACGAAUACGAUAAUAUGGAACGCAUGUGUGAGUGCAUAAAUAUGCAAAAGAGAAGUAUAAUCAAUAAUAGUUAUAUAGUUAUGACAAAUUAUUAAUAAACAAAUGACCUUUUUUCUUGUGGCAUUGGGUAUCGUCCCAACACCUCCAGCUGCCAUACUGGCCUCGGAGGCUGCGGUGGUGUUGUUGGGGUGGUGGCGGUGUGACUCCUACUCUUGCUUGAGCAACUGUCAUCAUAGAGGAAAUGAGAGCAAGGGCAAAAAUAAUGGUCAAGAAAGAAGCAACAACAGUCUGCGAUCUCAUCUUUAAAUAUUUUCAAAUGACGUGUGGCAUUUGUUUCAUCACUAUAUAUGCGUGUUUGUGAGUAAAUUAUACCGAUAAAAUAAAAUUCUUUUGUGUGUUAUCUCGCACAACUGAAAUGAAGCUAGCUUAAGGUUUUAAUAUAUGCAAAACUGCAAAAGUCUUGGGCGAUGGUCAAUGUAAAUUACCAAGAAAAUGAAGCAACCUUAGACUACAUGGUAUGGUGAUGGACCAUCCUUGGAGGAUGAUCCGCCACGUAGGCGCCACGUCACAUUCCUCUCUAAGAUGGUCCAUCAUCCAAAACUAGAAGGCAUGGUAGGAUGAUCCUAGUCAUAGUCCUUCACCACUUUUUAUGUUUUUUUUAUUUUUUUUAGUAUUUUAUUUUUUUUAACAUUUGACAAAUAUACUAAUAAAAUAUUUUCAUUAAUAUUAAACCCACAUUACAUAGAUAUUAAAAAAAACAUA
rnacentral:lncRNA from 1 species